CGGAGGAGCAUGUGGUUUAAUUCGAUGAUACGCGAGGAACCUUACCUGGGCUCGAACGUAAGAUGACUGUAGGUGAAAGCUUACAUCUCUUCGGAGCAUUUUACGAGGUGCUGCAUGGUUGUCGUCAGCUCGUGCCGUGAGGUGUCGGGUUAAGUCCCAUAACGAGCGCAACCCCUACCUUUAGUUGCCAUCAGGUAAUGCUGGGGACUCUAAAGGAACUGCCUACGCAAGUAGUGAGGAAGGCGGGGAUGACGUCAAAUCAGCACGGCCCUUACGUCCAGGGCUACACACGUGCUACAAUGGCCGGUACAAAGGGCAGCUACCUGGUGACAGGAUGCUAAUCUCAAAAGCCGGUCUCAGUUCGGAUCGGAGUCUGCAACUCGACUGCGUGAAGUCGGAAUCGCUAGUAAUCGUGAAUCAGAAUGUCACGGUGAAUACGUUCCCGGGCCUU
rnacentral:rRNA from 1 species